UUGGAAUCAUAUUCUAGGUGACAAAUUCCAGUUCUGUUAUUUCUUCUCUUUAUUGAAUCUAAGACAGUGUGAGUUGUAAGAUGGUCAUUAUUUUACAUAUUAUAGAGAAGGGGAAAAUCAGCCUGUUAUUUUGUGUUCCCACCAGUAAAAAAACAUAUCCCAAUGUGUAAGAGGUUAACAUGUGAUGGAAUACACUUCUUAGAAUCACUCAAAUGCAGUACAGUAUGUGUCUUAACAUCUUUGAAGUGUUAUUUAUACAUUUAGUAAAAACUGGGUAUAAAAAUUUCUCAUAAAUGUUUGCUUCCUUGUCAUUCUUUACCAGGUACAGAGCAUGUGGAAGUGGAAAGGCUAAGUUGCAUGUUAUACUGCUCGAGACAAGCAAGUCUUUUCCCUACAAACCGCUUCUGUCCCCUCAUGCUGUAUCUUGUGGAGCAGCAGCUGCUCCAGAAGAUGAACAAACCACACAUCCUCAGUCUGGAGAGUAUGUCCAGUCUCGCCAAGCCUGGUCUGUUUUAAGUGUUUCAACAUAGCUUUGAAAUAAAUGCUAAUCAAAUACUGUCUUCAAGACUGCGGUGAGAGGGAGUGAGAGUCUGUGAUGUGUGUUAUGCAUUUUCUGCUGGAAUCCUCCGCGGUUGGAUGUUGCCCUCCCAGGAUCCUGGAAAGAAGAGCCUCUUUGGGGAAUGUUGUUCCUUACUGAGUGACAGCUUCUCUUCCCAAAUCAAACUAGAUAGUGGAAUUCACAUCUCUUCAUGACCAAGAUUACCAUGAAACACACAAAGUGAAAUUAUUCUAUGCACUACAUGUGUGUGUGUGUGUGUCUGUGUGUGCAUGUGGGUGUGCAAUGAUUACCACAUACAGGAGCAGCUGGAGGCUACAACAUAAUUUUGAACACCACUUUCCUGACUGUUAGACAAGCAUUUGUCUUGUAAAUCAGAAGGAAAAUGAAAUAACCUACUAGGGAAAGGUUUUACAAAGAUAGGUGAAUAACCUACAUCUAUACUGUGGAAGAAAAGUAGAACUCUUCUCAAGAUAGAAAUUUAAAAAUAAGUGAUAAGGGGCUGGGGAUUUAGCUCAGCAGCAUGAGCACUUGCCUUGCAAGCAGGGGGUCAUGAGUUCAAACUCCAGUACUGAUAACAAAAAAAUAAAUAAAUAAAUAAAUAAAUAAAUAAGUGAUAGGAUCUGAAAAAUCUUUUUUAAGAAUAUUCAUCAGGAACUUGUGGAACAAAUUUGAGUUUCUUAUAAUCAAGGAUGACUUACAGUUCCCCAGGACCUCUGAUACCUGGUGUCAGCCUUAAUCCAGAGAUAAGCGGGCGACCAUCGGAACCACAGGAAGUUCAGCCUGCACCCUGCAAAUACAGAAUGCAGGGGGACGAUGUUGCACAAAGUGAAGUGAUUACAAAAAUCAAAGAAAGUAGAAUUUCCACACAGCAGGACCAUUAAUGGAAAUGCAUGGGUUUUUUUUUUUUUUUUUCUUAUCUCACAAGAGGGUUUCUCAACCUUAGCACUACUGACAUUUAGUGACAGGUGUCUUGUGCUGUGUGUUGAAGGAUACUUUGCAGCAUUUCUGGCCUUGGAUCAGCAAGAGGUAGUGGUCUUCCACUCCCUUUUGACUAUGCCACCCCCAGUGACCCUCUAUCAAUCCAGGUAACUGGGUGGCCAGAGAAACAAAACCCAACCAUAUGCUGUCUAAAAGAAACCCAUCUAACCCAAAAGGAUACUCACAGACUGAAAGUCAAAGGGUCAAAAACAAUACUUCAUACAACAGGAACAAAAAAAAAAGCGGGAAUAGCAUUCUGUUUGCAAACAAUGUGAACUUGAAACCAAUAAUGAUCAGAAGGGAUAAAGAAGAUCACUACAUACUGGUUAGGGGAAAACUUCAAGAGGAAGAGAUAACUAUCUUAAAUAUAUCUGCACCAAACUCCAGAGCACCCAGUUGUAUAAAAUAAGUAUCAAAAGAAAUGAAAAACCAAAUUAGCAGUAAGAUAAUUAUAACAGGAGACCUUAACACACCAUUGACACCAAGGGACAGAUCGACCACACAGAAAAUCAGCAAAAAAAUAAAAGAACAGAAUCAUACCUGUGAACAAAUGGACUUAAUAGACAUAUACAGAGUAUUCUGCCCAACAACAACAGAAUACACAUUCUUCUCAGCAGUACAUGAAUCAUUCUCUAAAAUAGACCAUAUAUUAGCUCACAGAAACUAUUUAAAUAAAUACAAAAGAGUUGAAAUUUUCCCUUUCAUGUUAUUGGAUCAUAGCACUAUAAAAUUAGAAAUUAAUGUUAAAAGAUACUGCAAAAACCCCACAAACACAUGGAAACUUAAUAACACACUCUUGAGUAAUCAGUGCAUCAGAGGGGAAAUUAAACAAUACCUAAAAGCAAACAAAAACACAAAUACAACUUACCAGAAUCUGUGAGAUGCAAUGAAAGCUGUCCUCAGAGGAAAAUUUAUUGUACUGAGUUCUCACAUCAGGAAAACAGAACAAAUACAAAAAAAUAACCUUAUGUUACACUUCAAACAUCUACAAAAAGAAGAGCAAGUCAAGCCCAAAGCCAAAACAAGAGAGGAAAUUACAAAAAUCAGACCAGAAAUGAAUGCAAUAGAGACUAAGAAAACAACCCAAAGAAUCAAUGAAAGAGUUGAUUCUUUGAAAGAAUAAAUAAAAUCAAUAAGCCUCUAGUCAACCGUACUAAAAAAAAGGGGAAGAAAAAGGUGAAAUUCAUGGAAUAGGAAAUGAAAAAGGCCAAAUCACUAGAGACUCUGUAGAAAUACGGAAGAUCAUCAACACCUAUUUCUAAUACCUCUACUCUCAAAGGUUUGAUAACACAAGAGAAAUAGACAGAUUCCUAGAAACAUAUGAAGUAUCAAAGCUAGGUCAAGAAGAAGUGGAACUGCUGAAUUUCUAUUAAUGAAACUGAAAACAUAAUUAAGUCCUUACCUAUAUAGAACAGCCUAGGCCCAGAUGGAUUCACUGCAGAAUUCUGCAAGAAAUACAAAAAAGACUUAACGCCAACAUUCCUCAAAAGCUUCAAUGAAAUUGAAAGGGGAGCAAUUCUUCCUAAGUCAUUCCUGGAAGCAAAUAUUGCUCUACUACCAAAACCUGAGAAAGACCCAGCUAAAAAAGAGAACUAUAGACCAAUCUCCCUAAUGAACACAGAUACAAAACUCCUCAAUAAAAUAUUGGCAAAAUAGGGUGCAACAAAUCAUCAAGAAGAUUAUAUACCAUGACCAAGUGGGACUCAUUCCAGGCAUGCAGGGAUGGUUAAACAUACGUAAAUCAAUAAAUGUAACCCACCAUAUCAAUAAAGCCAAAAGUAAGAAUCAUAUGAUCAUUUCUAUAGAUGCUAAAGUUUUGAUAAGGUCCAACAUUCAUUUAUGAUAAGAACUUUACAGAAAAUUGGAAUGGAUGGUCUUUACCUCAACAUAAUAAAGGCCAUCAAUGACAAACCAACAGCCAGUAUCAUACUAAGUGGCCAAAAACUGAAGGUCUUUACUUUAAAAUCAGGCACAAGACAAGUAUGUCCUUUAUCACCACUCCUAUUUAAUAUAGUACUGGAAAUACUAGCCAGAGCAAUUAGACAAGAGAGAAAUAAAAGAGGUAAAGAUAGGAAAAGAAGAAGUUAUUAUUGUUUGCACAUGACAUGAUACUCUACAUAGAAGACACCCAAAACUCCAUUGAAAGACUCUUAGAUAUAAUAAAUAAAUUCAGUAAUAUAGCUGGAUACAAUAUCAAUACUCAAAAAUCAAUAGCAUUCCUAUACACUAACAAUAAAAUCACAAAGAGAGAAAUAAGAGAAGCCACAACCUUCAUGCUAGCAACCAAAAAAUUGAAAUACUUAGGAAUUCCUCUCAUGAAAUACAUGAAAGACCUAUACAGGGAAAAUUAUAAUACACAGAAAAAAGAAACUGAAGACAAUCUCAGAAAAUGGAAACACAUCCUUUGCUCAUGGAUAGGAAGAACAAACAUUGUGAAAAUGGCCAUUCUCCCAAAACUCUUAUACAUAUUCAAUGCAAUCCCAAUAAAAAUACCAUCAACAUAUCUCAUAGAUCUAGAGAAAUCACUCCCAAAAUUCAUCUGGAGCAAGAAGAGACCUAGAAUAGCAAAGACAGUUCUAAGCAGCAAACGCAAGGUAGGAGGCAUCACAAUCCCUGACUUGAAGUUAUACUACAAAGCAACAGUAGUAAAAUCAACAAAGUACUGAAAUCAAAACAGAGCCGAAGAUCAAUGGAAUAGAUUAGAAGGUACAACCACAACUACAAACACACUCAACCACCUUAUCUUUGAUAAAGGAGUCAAACAAUGGAAGAACGACAGUCUCUUUAAUAAAUGGUGUUGGAAAAGCUGGCACUCCACAUGCUGAAAACUAAAACUAGACCCAUGUCUGUCAUCAUGUACUAAAUUAAAAUCUAAAUGGAUCAAAGAUCUAAAUAUUAAAACAGAAACACUAAAUCUAUUGGACAAAUUUGGUAAAAACCUUGAAGACAUAGGAGUAGACAGAGAAUUCAUGAACAGGACUCAAACCACCUGGGAAAUACUUCCCAGAAUCAAUAACUGGGAUCACCUCUUAUUAAAAUGUUUCUGCAUGUCAAAAGAAAUCUCCAGCAUAGUGAAAAGAAAACCCACAAACUGGGAAAAAAUCUUAGUGAACUGUCCCCCCAGACAAAGGAAUCCUUUCUAAAACAUAUAAAGAAUUUUUUAAAAAAUCAGACCCCCAAAAUUCAAAGAUCCAGUCCAAAAAUGGGCAUCUGAGAUGAAUACACACUUCUCAGAUGAAGAAAUAUAAAUGGCAAAUAAAUACAUGACAAAAUGUUCAUCAUCAUUGGUUAUUAGGGAAAUGCAAAUCAAAACCACACUGAGAUUUCAUCUCACUCCUAAAAGAAUAGCCAGGAUCAAAAAAACCACCAAGACAAAUGCUGAAGAGGCUGUGGGGAAAAAGGAACUCUCCUGCACUGUUGGUGGGAGUGUAGACUGGUGCAACCAUUGUGAAGGUCAGUCUGGAGAUUUCUCAAAAAGCUGGGAUUGAAAGUCCCAUUUGUUCCAGCUAUUUCACUUCUAGGCAUAUUCCCAGAAGAACUGAAAACAUCGUACCACAGUGAUAUAUGUGCACCCAUGUUUAUAGCAGCACAAUUUGUAGUAGCAAGAUCUUGGAAACAACCUAAGUGUCCAUCAACUGAGGAAUGGAUAAAAAAGAUGUGGUAUUUUUAUACAAUGGAGUACUACUCAGCUAUAAAGAAGGAUCACAUUGAGAUAUUUAUAAAUAAAUGGAGGUUGAGACCAUACUCAUAAGUGAAAUACAUCAAACUCACAUGUAUGAACACCAAAGUUUCCCUAGUGUAAGAAAUGAUAUAAAUACAUAAAAGUAUGUGGUAAUUCCCAUUAUAUGGCUUUGAAGCCUUAUAAAGUUUUCACUCAUUUACUGGAAUGGUUUUAUUCUGGGCUGCUUGAUAUUAUUGUCUGUGAUGAUAUGAAUAGCUAUUUUGAAGAAAACAAGACAUCAUAAUAGCUAGUGCUGAUUUAAUAUCAUUUUGUUUUGAAGUUCCAUCAAACUGUUGAUCUUCUGUCUCCAUUGCUUUUAUCAUGUUGUAUAUUCUUGGAUUUUAUUAUAUGUGAUAGUAUAAACAAAAUUUUUAUAGGUAAAGAGAUAAUAUAGAAACCAUUGUUGAUUUUCUGUUAGCUGGUUCUAAAUACCUUGUAAUGCUUUCAUCCUCUUGAGUGGUUUCACACUGUCUUGAUAUGUUUGAUGCUAUAGUAUACAAAGUUAUAUUCAAAUAUUUCAAGAAAAGAGACACUAUGGUAACCACUAUUAAGUCGAGUUAUCUUGUCGUGAAACACUAUGUGGCUUAAAUUGUUCUGUUCUGACCUGUAUUGUUAUGUUGUUAUGUCCUCUUUUAUCUCAAUCUCCCCCUUUUUAAAAAUUUAUUUACUUUUGAUCAUUAUUUUUUAAUUAAGGGAAAAAUUUUUAAAAAUUAGCAGUAUAUAUUAUGGUAACUUUUUUGAUUUCCUGUUAACUUGAGUUGAAGCCCUGUAUUGCUCUCACCAUCUUGUUUUGACUGAUUUUACUCUAUUCUGUUCUGUUUGAUAAUAUCAAUUUUGAGGGUACAGGCAAUUACUUUGAAGGCAAUAAGAUUCACUAUGAUGCCCAUUCUGCUUUGACUAUUAUCUUCUUUUGAAGUUCCGUAAUGUCUCCAAUGUUUAGGUUUUAUUGGUUUUGUUCUAUAUUGUUUUUUACAAUUUUAUUAUACCUGAUGAUAUAGGCAAUUCUUUUUAAGGUAGCAAGAGGCAUUAUGGUAACCAUUGUUGAUUACAUUGUAUUCUGUUUUUACAUCAUGUACUAUGUUCAUCCUUUGUUUUGACUGACUGCUUUGUUUUGUCAUCUUUGGUUUUACUCUCUUUCAAAAAAAAAAAGUAAUAAGAACUGUGGGAGUAAUAAAGCCCAAAAUGUGUAAAUGUUAUUGUAAAAAAGAGAGGAAAAGAAAGUGCUCUAAAGGAUACAACUGCAAGUGUGUUUAGGUGUGUAAGAUAGAUGACCAUAUUACUUAGUUUUUGUUGGAUCAUUGAACACAACUGUUUGCAGUCUCACUGUUUAAUGUCCACUUUGUAUGCUUUAAUUUUGUAACUUGAACAACUAUUUCUAAAAUGGCUAUGUAAUCUAUUAAC